AGAUCGGAUUACGAUCGAUGCCCUGUU
rnacentral:sRNA from 1 species